rnacentral:snRNA from 1 species
GCGCUCACUUCGGCAGCACACAUACUAACUAAAAUUGUAACAAUAUAGAGAAGAUUAGCAUGGCCCCUGUGCAAGGAUGACAUGCAAAUCUGUGAAGCGUUCCAUAUUUUU